rnacentral:misc_RNA from 1 species
GAUGAAGAACGCAGCGAAAUGCGAUAAGUAAUGUGAAUUGCAGAAUUCAGUGAAUCAUCGAAUCUUUGAACGCAUCUUGCGCUCCUUGGUAUUCCGAGGAGCAUGCCUGUUUGAGUGUCAUUUAACUUCUCAACCACAUUGGAUAUUUUUUUUCCGAUGCCGGCUUGGAUGUGGGGGUUGUUUGCAGGCUUUUUGUAACAAAAAAGGUCGGCUCCCCUGAAAUGUAUUAGUGGUAUCUGAGGCUAUUACUAUUAGGUGUGAUAAUUAUCUAUGCCUUUUGGGUAUGCCGCAUGAACAGAUUAUGCUGCUUCUAACGAAAACUAGUUUGAUGAAUUUGACCUCAAAUCAGGUAGGACUACCCGCUGAACUUAAGCAUAUCAAUAAGCGGAGGA